AACCUUGAAAAUCCAUAAGUCUUUCCCUAUAAUGAAUAUGUCGGGUUCGCCCGACUAUGAUGCUAAACGCUUUGUGGAAUAAGCGUCGUGGACCCGGGGGCAGUGCC
rnacentral:tmRNA from 1 species